UGUGUCAGUGAUGAGUUGCACUCUUAAGUCGGGUCGCUGUGCAGUGGCGCAGCAGAUCUGUCCUGACUUCCUGUGGAGACAGCCGAUGUGCACAGGGGCCAUCUGAGUCACG